CUAGUUAGUUUUUUCAAUUAAAAGGGCUGAAAUGCACCUUAAAAACCAUCAUUCAAAAGGCGGAACUGUGCCUUUAAUUAAUGCAAUGACGAAUUAUGACCUAAACGCCAAAUACCAAGAAAAUCAACAAAAACCGUAUAAACCACAAGGCUAUAAAUGUAUUGUAAUACUAUAGAAAAAAAAACACAAAAUAACAGUGCGAACAAAAUAAAAGUCAAUUUGUUAAUGGUACAACGACCAUUUUAUGUAAUGAGUUUUACUGAUUGAAACCUACUAACAAAUUUCAAAACUUAAGUACGAUUUUCCAAAAAAUAUAAAGACUUGUCUUUAUAUUCAUUUACCACAAAAGAAUUCAAAUAUACAAACUAUACUGGCUAGUCUUUCACACAAGAAUAUAUAUAUACCUAACCUUGUCAAUUUCUCGGAUGUAAUUUGGGAGAAUACAGGCGUACACUAUACCAUGGUUUAGGAAAAUUUGUGAGGAACUUACUUUAUAUAUAUAAGUCUAUAAAAGGGUCGAAAAAUAAUUGCAUUAUUAUUAUUUGAUGUGUCUAUGAUGAAAUUUUUUUCUAUAUGUUACUCUCGCUGAUGACGCCAUUCCCGUGCGUCAUAUCCGGUUUCUCAUCCAGGGGGGAGUGUUCAC
rnacentral:lncRNA from 1 species